UAUUUGAUUUAUGUUAUUUUUGGAUGUUAAUUUUGAUAAUUUUAGGUUUGGAUCUUAGAUUUGUGUUAGGAUGAAUAGUUUUAGGAUUUAUAUGUUAGAUUUUGUGUUAUGUUGUGAUUUUCUUGGUUUGGAUAGUUUUAGGUUGUGAAUUGUGAUUAUUGUGGUUUGUUAAUUUAUUUUGUUGUUUUAUUAAAUUUAAAACUAUUUUUACAAUCUACAAAAAGUUUUUCAAGUUUUCAAAAAAAAAUUUCAGUUUUUUAAUAAUUUAUAAAAAAAUUUCAAGUUAUAUAUAUAUAAACAAUUUUAAUUUUAUAUAUAUACUAUAUACCAAUUUUUAUUAUAUAUAUAAACCAUUUUAAUUUGAAAUUAUUAAGUUUAUUUUAAAACUGUCUUAUUUUAUACAUAUAAAGGAUUUUAAAUUUUUAUUUCUUAAAAUAUAUUUUAAAAUUAUUUUAUAGAAAUAAUUUUACAAUAUAUAUAUAUAUAAACGAUUUUAAAUUUAUUAAAAUUUAUUUUAAAAUUAUUUAAUAUAAACAAUUUACUAUAUAAAUUUAUUUUAUUUUUAAAAAGAUUAUUACAUUUAUAAACAAAUUUAAAUUUUCAUUUAGACAAUUUUUUUAAAAAAUGAAAUUAAUAUUUUUAUAAUUGUUUUGGGCUGUUCCAAAGUCAAAAAAGUUGUUUAGUCAGGCUGGGUCGUCAAGCCGCCUUUACUUCUUCUUCGCAAGUGUUGCUUACUGAUCCCGUGAUUAUGUAGCCGUUAAGGAACAAGGAUGGGCGGAUUGAAGCUUUGGAGACCCAAAAUGCUACAACUCCUGCUGAAAUGGCGGAACUAAAAGCUCAAGUGGCGGAACAUAGACAGCUCAAGAUUUUAUACCAUGCACUGAUCGUGUAUGCUUUACUCAUCAUCCCAGCUCUCUGAUUUGCUUUUCUCUUUGAAGUUUGUAUUUGUUCUUCUACUCAAACCAGAGAUGCCAAAAGAACCAAGUCCUAGAUUUUUGCUUUUGUUUUGUAUAGAUUAUUAAGUUUUGAUUUGUUCUUCUAAAUGAUAUAAUCUCUCAGCCCCUUGAACCACAUUAGUUUCAGGUGAAUCUAAUUUGUCUGUCAUUAACUAUUUAACUUUGUAUAUGUACAUUAUUUAUGUUUUUUUUUAAUAGAAGUGAACUCAAAAGUUGAGGCAUGAGAUUAAGAAUGUUUUGGAAUGUUUGGGCGGAGAUGUGGAGCUACCAAGAGACGAAGCAGCUAGCAAAAGAAUUGAAACCAUGAGAGGUGGAAACUGGAAACUAUGUCAUUCAACAACUGCAUGUUUGUAUGUAAGGAUGGAUUGUAGGCAGCUUGAUGAGGAAUAUAGUGAGUAAUAAACCAUUGAUGAGGUGCAAACUCUUUGGCAAGAAAGAUCUGGAUAAAAUAAUUUUCUAGAGAAAUCUUUAAGCAAAAGAAAUAAAAUAAAAUAAUAAUACAAUUCUUUAGAGCCUAA